rnacentral:rRNA from 1 species
UACGGAGGGUGCAAGCGUUAUCCGGAUUCACUGGGUUUAAAGGGUGCGUAGGUGGGCAUGUAAGUCAGUGGUGAAAUCUCCGUGCUUAACACGGAAACUGCCAUUGAUACUAUGUUUCUUGAAUUUUCCGGAGGUCAGCGGAAUAUGUCAUGUAGCGGUGAAAUGCUUAGAUAUGACAUAGAACACCAAUUGCGAAGGCAGCUGACUACAGGGACAUUGACACUGAGGCACGAAAGCGUGGGGAUCAAACAGG